UACGUAGGGGGCUAGCGUUGUCCGGAUUUAUUGGGCGUAAAGAGCGUGUAGGCGGCCAGAUAGGUCUGCUGUGAAAACUCGAGGCUCAACCUCGAGACGUCGGCGGAAACCAUCUGGCUAGAGUCCGGAAGAGGAGAGUGGAAUUCCUGGUGUAGCGGUGAAAUGCGCAGAUAUUGGGAGGAACACCAGUGGCGAAGGCGGCUCACUGGACCGGAACUGACGCUGAGGCGCGAAAGCGUGGGGAGCAAACAGG
rnacentral:rRNA from 1 species